rnacentral:rRNA from 1 species
GACGAACGCUGGCGGCGUGCUUAACACAUGCAAGUCGAACGGAAAGGCCCUGCUUUUGUGGGGUGCUCGAGUGGCGAACGGGUGAGUAACACGUGAGUAGCCUGCCCUUUACUUUGGGAUAACUUCAUGAAACUGGGGCUAAUACCGGAUAUGAUCUCCUGCUGCAUGGUUGGGGUUGUAAAGUUUCGGCGGUUGGGGAUGGACUCGCGGCUUAUCAUCUUGUUGGUGGGUUAGUGGCUUACCAAGGCUUUGACGUGUAGCCGGACUGAGAGGGUGACCGGCCACAUUGGGACUGAGAUACGGGCAAGACUCAUACGGGAGGAAGCAGUGGGGAAUAUUGCAAAAUGGGCGGAAGCCUGAUGCAGCAACGCCGCGUGCGGGAUGACGGCCUUCGGGUUGUAACCCGCUUUCGCCUGUGACGAAGCGUAAGUGACGGUAAUGGGUAAAGAAGCACCGGCUAACUACGUG